rnacentral:misc_RNA from 1 species
GAUGAAGAACGCAGUGAAAUGCGAUAAGUAAUGUGAAUUGCAGAAUUCAGUGAAUCAUCGAAUCUUUGAACGCACAUUGCGCCCUCUGGGAUUCCGGGGGGCAUGCCUGUUCGAGCGUCAUUAUAACCACUCAAGCUCUCGCUUGGUAUUGGGGUUCGCGGUUCCGCGGCCCCUAAAAUCAGUGGCGGUGCCUGUCGGCUCUACGCGUAGUAAUACUCCUCGCGAUUGAGUCCGGUAGGUCUACUUGCCAGCAACCCCCAAUUUUUACAGGUUGACCUCGGAUCAGGUAGGGAUACCCGCUGAACUUAAGCAUAUCAAUAAGCGGAGGA